rnacentral:rRNA from 1 species
GCGGCAGGCCUAACACAUGCAAGUCGAGCGCACCUUCGGGUGAGCGGCGGACGGGUUAGUAACGCGUGGGAACGUACCCUUUUCUACGGAAUAGCCUUUGGAAACGAAGAGUAAUACCGUAUACGCCCUUUGGGGGAAAGAUUUAUCGGAGAAGGAUCGGCCCGCGUUAGAUUAGAUAGUUGGUGGGGUAACGGCCUACCAAGUCUACGAUCUAUAGCUGGUUUUAGAGGAUGAUCAGCAACACUGGGACUGAGACACGGCCCAGACUCCUACGGGAGGCAGCAGUGGGGAAUCUUAGACAAUGGGCGCAAGCCUGAUCUAGCCAUGCCGCGUGAGUGAUGAAGGCCUUAGGGUCGUAAAGCUCUUUCGCCUGUGAUGAUAAUGACAGUAGCAGGUAAAGAAACCCCGGCUAACUCCGUGCCAGCAGCCGCGGUAAUACGGAGGGGGUUAGCGUUGUUCGGAAUUACUGGGCGUAAAGCGCACGUAGGCGGAUUGGAAAGUUGGGGGUGAAAUCCCGGGGCUCAACCCCGGAACUGCCUCCAAAACUAUCAGUCUAGAGUUCGAGAGAGGUGAGUGGAAUUCCAAGUGUAGAGGUGAAAUUCGUAGAUAUUUGGAGGAACACCAGUGGCGAAGGCGGCUCACUGGCUCGAUACUGACCGCUGA